rnacentral:rRNA from 1 species
AGUGAACGCUGGCGGUAGGCCUAACACAUGCAAGUCGAACGGCAGCACAGUAAGAGCUUGCUCUUACGGGUGGCGAGUGGCGGACGUGUGAGGAAUACAUCGUAAUCUACUUUUUCGUGGGGGAUAACGUAGGGAAACUUACGCUAAUACCGCAUACGCCCUACGGGUGAAAGCAGGGGAUCUUCGGACCUUGCGCGAUUGAAUGAGCCGAUGUCGGAUUGGCUAGUUGGCGGGGUAAAGGCCCACCAAGGCGACGAUCCGUAGCUGGUCUGAGAGGAUGAUCAGCCACACUGGAACUGAGACACGGUCCAGACUCCUACGGGAGGCAGCAGUGGGGAAUAUUGGACAAUGGGCGCAAGCCUGAUCCAGCCAUACCGCGUGGGUGAAGAAGGCCUUCGGGUUGUAAAGCCCUUUUGUUGGGAAAGAAAAGCAGCAGGUUAAUACCCCGCUGUUCUGACGGUACCCAAAGAAUAAGCACCGGCUAACUUCGUG